rnacentral:rRNA from 1 species
AGCAGCCGCGGUAAUUCCAGCUCCAAUAGCGUAUAUUAAUGUUGCUGCAGUUAAAAAGCUCGUAGUUGGAUUUCUGACUUGGCGCACCUGGCCCGCCACGGUUACGUGUGUGAGUGCCGGGAUGCGCCUGUCACUUUUCUGGUAAACUAUUGUGCCCUUCAUUGGGUAUGAUAGGUAGCCAGAUAUUUUACUUUGAAAAAAU